CCUACGGGAGGCAGCAGUCGAGAAUCAUUCACAAUGGGGGAAACCCUGAUGGUGCGACGCCGCGUGGGGGAAUGAAGGUCUUCGGAUUGUAAACCCCUGUCAUGUGGGAGCAAAUUAAAAAGAUAGUACCACAAGAGGAAGAGACGGCUAACUCUGUGACAGCAGCCGCGGUAAUACAGAGGGCUCAAGCGUUGUUCGGAAUCACUGGGCGUAAAGCGUGCGUAGGCUGUUUCGUAAGUCGUGUGUGAAAGGCGCGGGCUCAACCCGCGGACGGCACAUGAUACUGCGAGACUAGAGUAAGGGAGGGGGAACCGGAAUUCUCGGUGUAGCAGUGAAAUGCGUAGAUAUCGAGAGGAACACUCGUGGCGAAGGCGGGUUCCUGGACAUUAACUGACGCUGAGGCACGAAGGCCAGGGGAGCGAAAGGGAUUAGAUACCCCUGUAGUC
rnacentral:rRNA from 1 species